rnacentral:rRNA from 1 species
AACGAACGCUGGCGGCGUGCCUAACACAUGCAAGUCGUACGUGAAAGACUUUCGGGAUGAGUAAAGUGGCGCACGGGUGAGUAACACGUAGGUGACCUGCCUUUUAGAGGGGAAUAACCAGAAGAAAUUUUGGCUAAUGCCGCAUACGAAGCACAGUUUUAAGACUGUGUUUGAAAGAAUGCCUCUGCAUAUGCAUUCACUAAAAGAUGGGCCUGCGGAACAUUAGCUAGUUGGUGGGGUAAAGGCCUACCAAGGCAACGAUGUUUAUCCGGUCUGAGAGGAUGAUCGGACACACUGGAACUGAGACACGGUCCAGACUCCUACGGGAGGCAGCAGUGGGGAAUAUUGCGCAAUGGGGGAAACCCUGACGCAGCAACGCCGCGUGAGUGAGGAGGGACUUCGGUCUGUAAAGCUCUGUUAAUGUGGAAAAAUGGUAGUUGGUCUAAUAGGCCGAUUAUUUGAUGGUACACAUAGAGGAAGCACCGGCUAACUUCGUGCCAGCAGCCGCAGUAA